UAUGGAGGGUGCGAGCGUUAUCCGGAUUUAUUGGGUUUAAAGGGUCCGUAGGCGGACCUGUAAGUCAGUGGUGAAAUCUCAUAGCUUAACUAUGAAACUGCCAUUGAUACUGCGGGACUUGAGUGAAUUUGAGGUAGCUGGAAUAAGUAGUGUAGCGGUGAAAUGCAUAGAGAUUACUCAGAACACCAAUUGCGAAGGCAGGUUACCAAGAUUCAACUGACGCUGAGGGACGAAAGCGUGGGGAGCGAACAGG
rnacentral:rRNA from 1 species